GUUGGAAGAACGGGGUGGCUUCUCAUCUUAUAACAACAGCGGAAUGUAGCCGGGUUGAAAUGCAGAACUCAAACUUUCCAUUUUGCACGGGAAGGGGGGCGCCUCCAAAGCGUGGCCCGGCCGCGGAGCCCUCGCUUUCCCCCGCCCGAAAGCAGGCGGCGGUUCCGACUGUAUCUCUUGGGCCGGGAGGAAAAUGCAACUCUGCGCGAGAAGGCGCAAGCCCGGUCAGGGCAACUGCUGCUUUCUCGAGACCUGGCACAUUCAUGACAAAACACCACCUGAAAGAAUGGACAGCAGCCCUCCCCUAAACAGCGCCACCCCCAAGCCCCAACUCACAACAAAGAGUUCAGAAAGAAAGAGAGACCUCGGGAGCACUUCAGAUCCUGCACUUCGAAGUUUUGCAGCAUUCCCCUUCUAAAUAAUACUACUACUUUUUAAAAAAUUAAAGAAAAGUCAUGGAAACAGCC